UGCUGCCGCUUCUUCUCUGCCUCACCUCCUUCAACUCUCUUUCGAUGUCUCCAAUUUUCUUCCUCUUCCUCUUGAUUCCACCACCACCAUCCCAAGACUCUCUCAAUCUGUCUCUCAAAGAGAGAUCUGAAAUUUGUCUAGGAUAAAGAAAACAACGGUUUACUGUAUGAGCUUGGGUAAGAACAAGUAUGUCAGGAUGAAAGUACUUCUGCCGCGCCACGGACGAUAAGGAGUAUGACAGUCUUUAAAGGAGAGGGUUAUGUGGUUCAUGAGGAUCUUCUAAAGAGUAAAAAUUCUCAAGGACACCAAAUACAGCAACAUGGAUGAAAACACUAGAGAAGUUGCAAAGCGUAUUGGAUCCGAAAUCUAAAAUGAUGACCUCAAGACCUAUUUUGGGAAUGCCAUAGAGAAUUGGCUGAUUGAGUACCUAUUUGAGUGCAGUCAGAUCACAAUUACUGUACCAGCUAAAAAAGAGAUAGAGAAUGUACUAGCGCUGAGUGCUCUACUCAAGCAAAUUACAUUAAGAUUUAGGUGAAGGAAAAUUGUGGUCUCUGCUCUGCACAAGUUGACAGGAUUUGGGCCGGAAAAGUUGAUUCACAAUUAUUACUGGCUCUUAAUGAAUCUCAAAGGAAGUGGUAUUGGGUACUAUAUCUGCAGUGUAUUGUAACCACAGGUCAACUGUGAAACUUGUUUGGGGUCCACCUGCGACAGGAAAAACCAAAAUCAUCAGUAUAUUACUGUAUAGCUUGCUAAGUAUGAAUUGCAGAACACUUGCUUGUGCCCCAAAAAAACAGUGCCGCUGCUGAACAUGCGCCGCAUAUCUUAAACCUUCACAAAGAUGCUUCCGGAUUGAAGUUAUGUGAUGAUCUUGGAAAGAUUUAUGUGGAUCAUCGUGAGGACAGUCUUCUCGAGUGUUUUGCUCCAUUAACUGGUUGGAAGAAACAUUUCGAUUCCAUGGUAUUUUAUUGAAAAUUGUGCAUCUCGGAAUCGUUUACCUUUGGAGAAUGAAGUAAUUACAGAGGUUCAUUACAAGUUUGCAAAAGACCGAUUGAGAGCUUUUAGCUGUACCCGUCAAGAGAAGCAUCAGAGUAUUAUGCAUCCAUCUCCCUAAAAGAUUUUUAUUUGCCGGAGAAUCUUGAAAAGAUGGUUACUGUUUGUGGUUUGCUUGAAUCUUUUGAAAUUUUGCUCUCUCAAAGUCGGGUAACUGGCUAGGAAUUAGAGGAACUCUUUGCACGCCAAGAAAAUUAUUUCAAGGAGGCACAAGGAAGUCGGGCAUCGAAUGAGGAUUGAAAGUGCAGGUCCUAAGAUAUGUCAGUCAUUCUCUUGCUGAUCGCCUUCCAAGUUCCAGCAACAGAAGUUUCUUAACAGAGUUCUGUUUGAAAAAUUCAUCCCUCAUUUUUUGCACAGUGUCAAGCUCAUACAAUCUGCAAGAGGUAGACCUAGAACCACUGGAUUUGUUGGUAGUUGAUGAAGCUGCUCAGUUGAAAGAGUGUGAAUCAGUGAUUCCCAUGCAGCUUGAAUCUAUACAACACGCUGUCCUAAUUGGCGAUGAGUGCCAUCCACAAGCUAGAGUCAAAAGCAGGGUAUCUGACAAAGCUGGCUUUGGAAGAAGUCUAUUUGGAAGGUUGGGCUUUUUUGGGCAUUCAGAGGACCUUCCCAACAUGCAGUACAGAAUGCAUCCUAAAAUAAGCUCUUUCCCAAACCACAAAUUUUAUAAAGACCAGAUUAGAGAUGUUUGAAGUGUUGUUUGAGAAAAUCUUCAAUAUUUAUCUACCGGGACCUAUGUUUGGUCCCUACUCAUUCAGAAAGUGAACAUCCAAUAGCACUAGGAGAAAGAGUGUUGAUUUUGUUUUUACAGAGAGAAAAAUUGGAAAAUCCACUUAAAUAUACACUCUCUCUACUAGUGCUAUUGGUUGUUCACUUGCUCGAAUGAAAAGACCCAUAUUUCUAAUGAAGGGAGGAGCUAGAUGAAGCUGGGCAUAGUAUGAAAAAUAUGGUUGACGUGGCAGUUGUAACGGCAAUAGUGCGAAACCUUUAUAAAGGAACUGAUGGCCGAUUCUGAAGUUCCGGAAGGCAUAUAUUCACGGGCCCGCAUCGAGGAGUUAGACUCUAAAUGUCUGUGGCUGGGAGCAAAUGUCGUGCUAGAAUACACAGGUGCAGAGGUCCGUUUGUUGAGAAUUUUUUCUUUUAGUAGUACUGCAGUACCAGUAUUCAGGAUAAGAGCACAAAACUGUUCUUUUUGACAUGAUGUCACUCUUCUGGACCCUUGGACACAUAGAUGUUAGCAUGUCCUCGAGGGUGUAUCUUAUGGAAACUUUUUAAAAGAAAUGUUAGUGACCUGUGGUGGUUAUAGAUAAAUCUUGUAUAAACUCUUAGUUAGAUAUGCA